CUGCAGUUCUCUAUGCAGAUGAUACUACAUUGGCAACUGAUUCAUAUAGUCCUGAAGACUUACAAAAAUAAAACUGAAUAAUUCAGCAGAGGAAUUCAUAAAUUGGCGUGAAAGAAAUUUUUUGAUAGUGAAUGCAGAGAAAACAGCAUUUCCAUUCUAGAUGAAGAUCUGUGUCUGGUAUUCAAGUGGUUGUCACUGCUCUCGGAAUGCUUACACUGAUUGGUGGUGAUAGUUUACCGUGAGUGGGGUCCAUAAAUAGCUUAGCCUGUCCCAAAUCAAAUGACAAAUUCUCUCGGUUCAGUCCUACCGGCUGCGUCAUGUUACAAUAUCACGUUAUAUAUGACCCGACAACUGUCAGUGCACAUAAUAUCUACAGGAAGGGGCAAUAUUGAAUAUGAAUCAGAGGGUUACUGAAAUUGUUUGUCUAUAGCGUUAGUCAGUCAUUUCAUCAUCAGUUAUGACAAGGGCGUAGUAAAAAAUAGAUUAUAUGAAGAGAAUACAGAAGUCAAAUUUUUCAAAGUUAUUGAGAUUUCAUCCUCCAAAUCGGCCAACCAUACCAUUCAGCCAACCGUUAUUAUGCAAGAGCCUGUGAUUCAUUGUGUCGAAACUAGGAUGGAGGCAAAUACUCUGUUUACAGUAGAAAAACCACAAGGUGGAUAAAUGUUCAUAUCGUGACUGUUUUUACCAUUCUUGCUGUAUAAAGGGUCAUUUGACACCUAAAUACCUUAAAACAAUCAGGUAUUACAAAUACAAAUUUUCAUAGUAAUACUUUUUUAGAUUCUGUGGAAUAUUCAUUAUUUAGGUACUAAGGUACCUAAAUUAAAAUUAAAAAUGAAUUAUUCCCCUGUUUCAAUUCAUUUUGACACGGAACUACUAGUGAGGUUGGUAAUUGAUGCUUAUGACUAUGGAAUUUUGACAUUAAUAUGGUCCCGAUUCCAUAAUCCAUUGCCAUACCUAGAAGAAAAAUGUUAUGAUUGUGGACGAUUUAUUAAUAUUUUCCAACAACAAAAAAACAACUGAAAAUUCAAAGGAAGACUUGAACGGAUGAUUCUGGAAAGAAAGAUAUGGAGGAAGCAAAAAGCUGUAUUGAGCUUAGAAUUACUAGAAAUCGAGAAAAAGGAUAUUCUGAGCCUGAUUGGAAAACGAUAUUGAACCGGAUAUGUAUUUCGACUUGCACCAGGUAAGGUCCAUUUCUUGGAAUUAUAAUGAAAGACAACAUGAUGUUGCAUAAUAAACAACUGAAUCAGCUAUGCAAGAAGUCAUGUGGUUAAAGCAAUUCGAAGAGGAAUUUAAACCAGGCAAUUUCAGUCUGUAGUGAUCUCUUGUGAUAACAAAAGUGCAAUAAAUGUAGCAACAAACAAUAGUGAAAGAUCUAAGCACAUUGAUAUUCGCCAUAAUUUAUGGAACAAAAGCUACAAGA